CCUCCCUUUGCAGGCUGCUGCAGCCAGGAACUGCAAUAUGUCACACUGUAAGAUAUUUUUCUAGGGAUCAGUGCCUGUUUUUAUGACAAAGAGCCACACAAGUACUUGCAAAGGCACCAAGGAAGGCAAAGACACUCAUUUUCUCCCCUCCCAUGUCCAGCAGGGCGUUAAAUUGCAUUCAGGAGCUGAAAGUUUACAUCAGGAGCUGAAAGUUUGUAACACCUGACAAUUGGUCUGGAGGCAUCUCCUGGCUUCCAGGAGAUUAAUUUCAGGAUGUUAAACAUAUGCAUAUUCACUGCUUUUCAGUGAUCUGCCAACAUCCAGGAGGUAAGAUGUGGAAUCUGAGCUACCCCCACCCCAAUGGUUUCUGCAGGCAGCACAUGCAGAGAGUGUAUGUAGGGGUUCACCACAAGUGUAGGCUUACUGGGGGAGGCCUUUGGAUCUUGUGCCCUCAGCCCUGCUUCCUUUUGUGUCUAGCAUUUUUAUAUUUUGCAAUUAAUUUC